UCUCUCUCCUCCUCUCUAAUAUAGCUGUACAUGACUGGUUCUCCAUCCUCCUCUCUAAUGUAUUUAUACUAUACUGGUUUUCCCUUCUCCUAUUCUCAAUAAUGUAUCUAUACUAGACUGGUUGUCCCUCCUCCUCUCUAAUGUAUCUAUCAUAGACUGGUUCUCCCUCCUCCUCCUCUCUAAUGUAUCUAUACUAUACUUGUUCUCCCUUCUCCUCCUCUCUAAUGUAUCUAUACUAGACUGGUUGUCCCUCCUCCUCUAUUAUGUAGCUAAACUAGACUGGUUCUCCCUCCUCCUCCUCUCUAAUGUAUCUAUAAUAGACUGGUUCUCCCUCCUCCUCCUCUCUAAUGUAGCUAUACUAGACUGGUUCUCCCUCCUCCUCUCUAAUGUAGCUAUACUAGACUGGUUCUCUCUCCUCCUCUCUAAUAUAACUUUACAUGACUGGUUCUCCGUCCUCCUCUCUAAUGUAUCUAAUCUAUACUGGUUUUCCCUUCUCCUAUUCUAUAUAAUGUAUCUAUACUAGACUGGUUUUCCCUCCUCCUCCUCUCUAAUGUAGCUAUACUAGACUGGUUCUCCCUCCUCCUCCUCUCUAAUGUGUCUAUACUAGACUGGUUUUCCCUCCUCCUCUCUAAUGUAUCUAUACUAGACUGGUUUUCCCUCCUCCUCCUCUAUUAUGUAGCUGUACUAGACUGGUUCUCCCUCCUCCUCCUCUCUAAUGUAGCUGUACUAGACUGGUUCUCCCUACUCCUCCUCUCUAAUGUAGCUAUACUAGACUGGUUCUCCCUCCUCCUCCUCUCUAAUGUAGCUAUACUAUACUGGUUCUCCGUCCUCCUCCUCUCUAAUGUAGCUAUACUAGACUGGUUCUCCAUCCUCCUCUCUAAUGGAGCUAUACUAGACUGCUUCUCUCUCCUCCUCUCUAAUAUAGCUGUACAUGACUGGUUCUCCAUCCUCCUCUCUAAUGUAUCUAUACUAUACUGGUUG
ensembl:lncRNA